rnacentral:rRNA from 1 species
AUGGCGUGGCAAUUACAGCAAACAAUGGCCACCACGAGCACACGCUUCCGGACGUCGUCGCUGGCAACCGUCCGCUGCUCGGCGGCCGCUCGGCGGUCAGCCAACUACGCUCCCAGCUCCUGGGAUUACGACUCCCUCCUCCAGCUCUCGCCCUACAAUGGCGGACAAGCAGAUAAAGUCGAUAAAUUGAAGGCCGGCGUGAGGGAGCGGCUGGUGGCGGCGAGCCGAGGCGGCCACCAAACUGCCAUGCUCGGGCUUGUCGACACGGUACAACGGCUCGGCAUCGCCUACCAUUUCGAGGAGGAGAUCGCCUGUAUCCUUAGCUCCAUCCACCGCGAGCCUCACCAGUGCAGCUGGGACUACGAUGCCAGUGAUGUUGCUUCUGCGGGCUUGAGGUUUAGGUUGCUCAGGGACGGUGGUUUCCCAGUCCUCUUCCCCCCAGGUACCUAG